rnacentral:lncRNA from 1 species
UUACCCCCAGCUCAGCGGCUCAUGCUUGGGCCUUCUCGUUUUCUUCCUUGGGGAGUUCUCGGUUAGAAUUUAGUUUUGUUUGGUCUUAAUAUAGCAGUAAGCAAGUCAUGGUUUGGUGGAGGUGGAGAUAACCCUCUUCCUCUUUGGUCCUGGGUUUGAUACCCAGGUGUGUUUGUUUUGGUUUUUUUUUUUUUUAACAUUUUGGAUUUUCUCGCAUUUUCUUUAAUUCUCACAUUUGAUUAUAUGGUCUUACUACUUAACUAACAUGUUUCUAUUGUUUAUUCAUUAUUAUUUUUUUUUCAUUAUUAUUUUUAAUAUAACUUAGGUGAUUAUUCUUUCUUUACUCGUGCUUGCUACUUCGUUUGUACAAAUCAUUUAUUUUUAUGUGUGAGUUGUGUUUUAA